rnacentral:misc_RNA from 1 species
AUAAUAUAUAACACACAGAAAAUAUGUUUUAAUGUAAUUAUAUUUCAUUUUAUUUUAUUGAAAGCAUAUAUUUGCACAGCAGUGAGGUGUUACUGUUGAGGUAAAAUAAUCAAUAAAUUGGUUCUCUGGUUUAGAUGGCAGCAGAGCACUGUUUUGGUUUAGUGUCUUUUAAAAAUUAAUUGCCAUUUAUUGUGGAAUUUCAUUUGUUCUAAUGAAAUAAAGAAUUAUUGUUUAUGUUAUUUAAUAUGUUAUGUGAUACUUAAUACUGUUCAUGAGAACAAUUAUAUAAUAAAACAUCUAGUACUACAUUCAAUGAUAACACUUCAAAAUGGAAAUAAAAUGUACAAGACAAUUUGUCUAUUUACAAAAUAGAUUUGUCAGCAGUGAUUAUUAAGUAAAGCACAAUGUUAUCUAAACACUGUAUGUAAGUACAUAAUAAUUAAAUAACAUGGAGACACAAGAAGAUUGUACAAUUCGCAGAGGUCAACCUAUUCGAAGAGGACAUACAUCAUCUUCAAUGAUGAUGAACCAAUCACAAUAUUUAAAUAUUGGAAGAUCUACCAUUCGAAUAGCUGUAUAUUUAAUGACAGAAGUUUUUUUAACAAUGGACAUUGAACAAAAUUCCACUGCCCAUCAAAUUCUAACAAUGAUACAGUCUGAAGCAGAAUUAGGAUUAGCAAGAACUCCAUUGCCUACUGGUCAAACAGUGUUUGCUUUGUGGCUCUGUUCAUCAAAACUUGAAGUUCAAUUACGACCAAAUCAUAAGCCUAUCGAAUUAGCAACAAAGUGGAAUCAUUUAGUGAAAAAGUACAGUUCUGAAAGGGAAGAUACCGAUGAAGAACCUUUAUUGUGUCUUAGACGAAAUGUAUUUCUUUCUCGGGCAGAUGAGGAGCAAAUAAAAGAAGCCAAAGUAUUGGAAUUAUUAUAUGCAGAAGCUAGAAAUAAUGUUCUACAAGGACGUUAUCCAUGCGAAGGUCAAGCACGGUACGCCAGCUUGGGAGCUUUGCAAGCACGCAUUGAACUAGGACCAUACAAUCCACAAAAUCAUACAUUAGCAUUUUUCAGACGACAUCGUGGUCGAUUUUUACCGCAUCAUUAUACUUCUCCUAGCCUGUUAUUAGGGCUAGGUCUUGGAUUAGGUUUGGUAGGAGGAAAAGGAGCUCCUGAGGCACGUCUUCUUGAACAAUACAAACGAAUACCUAAUCACACAGGAACUAAUACAAAUUCAAGGAAACUUAUUAGAAAAUAUCUAGAGUUUUGUUGGAGUUUGCCUUGUUAUGGUGCAGCUUUCUUUCAGGGACAGAUUGAACGUCCUGUAAGAGGUCUCGCGUCAUGGAUUACAAAUCGUGAUAUGCAUGUUCUUAUAGCCAUUAAUUCAUCGGGUAUAUACAUUGUUGAUGAUAUGCAAUGUAGUUUAUUAUUAGGUCUGCGGUAUUCAGAGGUGAGUUGGGAAAUGGCGAAGCCAUCCGACGAAGGCAAUAAUGAUGGAUACGUUAAUUUCUGGUUUUGCCGAGGAACAUCGCCGCCACGGAGCUAAUGGCGAUGUGGCAAAUACUGAUCGUUUAAUGGAUCACUCGAUAGGUUCGACUACCGGAAGUUUUACGAAUAAACUUAGCAAAUUUACAUUGGCUACUUUUGACGAUGAAGGUAGAUGCAUCGGAC